UACAGAGGUCUCAAGCGUUGUUCGGAUUCAUUGGGGCGUAAAGGGCGCGUAGGCUGCGGGGCAAGUCGGGUGUGAAAUCUCAGAGCUCAACUCUGAAACUGCACUCGAUACUGCUUUGCUUGAGGACUGGAGAGGAGACUGGAAUUUACGGUGUAGCGGUGAAAUGCGUAGAUAUCGUAAGGAAGACCAGUGGCGAAGGCGGGUCUCUGGACAGUUCCUGACGCUGAGGCACGAAGGUCAGGGGAGCAAACGGGG
rnacentral:rRNA from 1 species